UACGUAGGUGGCAAGCGUUGUCCGGAUUUACUGGGCGUAAAGGGCGCGUAGGCGGCGUGACAAGUCACUUGUGAAAUCUCCGGGCUUAACCCGGAACGGUCAAGUGAAACUGUCGUGCUAGAGUACAGAAGGGGCAACUGGAAUUCUCGGUGUAGCGGUGAAAUGCGUAGAUAUCGAGAGGAACACCUGCGGCGAAGGCGGGUUGCUGGGCUGAUACUGACGCUGAGGCGCGAAAGCCAGGGGAGCGAACGGG
rnacentral:rRNA from 1 species